GAUUUUCCGCGUUAAGGAUAGUAGUGGCAUCCUUUUGCACAGCAAAAGAUAUAACGGAUAGCCUGACCUUAU
rnacentral:sRNA from 1 species